AAGAGGGCAGGGACAUGAGAGGGAAUGGGACAUUUACCUAAGGGCCUGCGUGCCUUCUGAUCUGUAUUUUUUUCUGGUUGAAACCAUCAGUCAACAAAUUUAUGUGAGAUUCCACACAGAACUCCAGACGAGGAUACUUUGCUUUUACAGCUUUGCUUUGCGAAAGGAUGGGUUCCAAGAAAUGUGUCAUCAGGCAAUUCCAUGGAAUGUUCUGUGGUGUGGAUACCUUUUGAGCGUACUUACGCAAACCUGGAGGAUGCAGCCCACUGGACACCUAGCCUAUAGCAUAUAUGUAUGGCAGGGCCUACUGCUCCCAGGGAUGAUGGACAGGCAUGGAAUUUAACCAAGCACAAGAGUAAAUGAUAUCAUCAAGACCCUCAGGUAAACACUGCUGCUGACACACCCCAGUGGCUGCUUUACAGGAAAUGUUUUUUUUUUUUAUAAGUAGGAGUAUAUUCUAAAACAAUGGUAAAAGGUAGAGCAUAGUAAACACAUCAUACCAGUAACAAACUCAUUUAUUACCAUCAUCAGUGAUUAGGUGCUGCACACGCCUGUAUGUGGUAUAUUUUUAUAGGACUGGCGGCACAGGUUUGUGUACACCAGCAUCACUACAAACGCACCGGUAAUGGUUGCACUACCACGUUACAACCUCGCCAGGUGAUAGGAAUUUUUCAGCUGAUGACAUCACUGUCAUAUAAUCUUAUGGGACCACUGUGGUCGGUUAGCAACCAAAACAUUGCUAUGCAGCACGUGACUGUAUAUUUGGUAGGGCUAAACACAAUCCAGUCCUUUCCCCGGAAGAUUACAACCUAGUUGUUGGGGAGGCAACCAAAAUACAUGACAUUGACCUGGAACUCAGGAAAAGCAAAGAAACACAAUGCAAAUUCACAGCACACAAACUGCUUAUAUGCUGAAAGGCAGAAAGAUGAAAUUGUUUGCAACUGUCCUACUGAUUUCUCAGUGGCUUGCCUGUCUGUCUUCCCCAGUGGCAUGGCAAGGCCAUGUCACAACAUUUCCACUAAUGUUGAAUAAAACUCUUAGUGAAUGGGGCUGGGUAGGUGGGGUUAAUCAAGAAAUCAUUCCACAAGUAGUAUCCUCCCCCACUACAAAAAUAAUACAAUGCUUACUAUAAAAAUUUCAGAAAAUAUUAAAGAAAAUAUAAAUGCUCUUGUUCCA
rnacentral:lncRNA from 1 species